AGCGUGUUGAAGAGGCGGGCACGGCGGCACAAGAGCUGAACCCCAACCCGGCGAGGGCCACGGGAGCACGAGCAGCGGCGAGCUAGUUACGCUGUACCAGUGGGAGAGAGAGGAUGUUCGCCGUGCGCUCCGUGCUAGAUAUAUGUAGCUAAAGUGUGUGUGAAAACAUCAUACUUUCUAGAUAAAAAAGGAAAGUAACUUAACACUAAGCAAACGCAGGAGAGAAACAUAUAAAGAGAAAAACAACAACUAAGAAUCGUAGUAAUCAUAGUGUAAAUCUGAAGUGAAAAUAAAAAUAGAAAUAAGUGUGUAUAUGAGAUUUUAGAAUUAGAAAUAUAAAGAAAAGGACUGCACAUUUUCGAGGUCAAAUAGCCAGUUGAAGAGAGUGUGACUUAACCUUUGACCUCCAAGAUGGGUCAGCCGUCCCCCUUCGUGGCGGGCGUCGUGGUACUCCUGAUGGGCGUGGCCAUAGGCGUUGGCCACCACCGAACCCGCAGUCGAGAUUCAGACGGAAGCCCCGCCCCCUAGAGCCGAUGCCCCCGUUGCGUUUAAAGGUAAGGCUGCCACAUACCGAAAGACAGCAUCACGGAACAAUUACUGAUCAGGUAUUUACCAAAUGCGGUUACUGAAAAGAGAAAGAAAAAAA